rnacentral:rRNA from 1 species
UUCACUUUGGGAUAACUCGGGAAACCGGUGCUAAUACCGAAUGCGACCACUUCAGGCAUCUGACGGUGGUGGAAAGUUCCGGCGGUGAAGGAUGAGCUCGCGGCCUAUCAGCUUGUUGGUGAGGUAAUGGGCUCACCAAGGCUUCGACGGGUAGCCGGCCUGAGAGGGUGACCGGCCACACUGGGACUGAGACACGGCCCAGACUCCUACGGGAGGCAGCAGUGGGGAAUAUUGGACAAUGGGCGAAAGCCUGAUCCAGCAACGCCGCGUGAGGGAUGACGGCCUUCGGGUUGUAAACCUCUUUCAGCAGGGACGAAGCGAAAGUGACGGUACCUGCAAAAGAAGCACCGGCCAACUACGUG